rnacentral:piRNA from 1 species
UGCACACUGUUGCCUACAUACUUUG